rnacentral:lncRNA from 1 species
GUCCCUGGAGCUUGAGCAGCUAUGACAUGGCCAGGGGUAUGGAUCUCUAUAGUCUCCUCGAUAAGAAGUUUGUCUGUAACCAAAGAGGGCUGAUACUCCAAUCCCUUCCCAGACCUGUUCUAGUUGAGAUGGCACUCAUCUGUCCCUCUCCUCCCUGAUUUUUGUUACUUGAGGUGAUCUUCUGUGGCUCUGGCUCCUGACCGUCGGCAUGGAUAAAUGUUUACAGUCAAGGGAGAGCAUCGUGUGAGAUCCACUGCUGGGAGAGUUGCAGCUGGGGAGUGCUGCUUUGUCACGGCUGCAGAAACUCCUGGGAGAAUGAGCAUCGUG